rnacentral:rRNA from 1 species
GACGAACGCUGGCGGCGUGCUUAACACAUGCAAGUCGAACGGAAAGGCCCUGCUUGCAGGGUACUCGAGUGGCGAACGGGUGAGUAACACGUGGGUGAUCUGCCCUGCACUUCGGGAUAAGCUUGGGAAACUGGGUCUAAUACCGGAUAGGAGCCAUCUUUAGUGUGGUGGUUGGAAAGUUUUUUCGGUGUAGGAUGAGCUCGCGGCCUAUCAGCUUGUUGGUGGGGUAAUGGCCUACCAAGGCGGCGACGGGUAGCCGGCCUGAGAGGGUGUAUGGCCACAUGGGGACGGAGAUGCGGCCCAGACUCCUACGGGAGGCAGCAGUGGGGAAUAUUGCACAAUGGGCGAAAGCCUGAUGCAGCGACGCCGCGUGGGGGAUGAAGGCCUUCGGGUUGUAAACUCCUUUCGCUAGGGACGAAGCUUUUUUGUGACGGUACCUAGAUAAGAAGCACCGGCUAACUACGUG